AUGGGACUGAGGAGGCCGAGUCCUCGGAGAGACCGGGCCGGGGCCGGGGCCGCCCCGGGGGUGCGGCGGAUGAAGGCGGUCUCUCGGUCUCCGCCCCGGCCGGAGGAGCAGCAGAGGCACCCCCACCCACCCCCCAGUCCCCUCCCGAGACCACCGGCCGAGAGAGAGCCCGCCCGCCCGAUCAGAGACGUUGGGGGCCGGCCGGGCCGCCCGGGUGCCGUGGAGGGCCCCCCUCCGGGCCCGCGGGAGCCGCGGUGGCCCGGUGGAGUCCCUCUGGACGGACCGGCCGCAAGGGAUGACCGGCCGGCGUGGCCGGCACCUCCCGCCCCGCCCCGGGGCCUUCCCGUUGGGCCCGCCGGCGGCUCCCGCCGACCGCGAGCCCGGCUCGGGUCGGGCGUUGGGACCGUCGAAGCCCGAGCGGGAGACGGGGGCCGGGCCCGGACCCCGUCCGCCUUCCUCGGCCGGCGGGCGGGAGCCGCCGAGGGCCCCUCCCGGCGGCCACGUCUGGCCGUCCCCCCCCCCCCCGGAGGACCGCCGUCUCAGUCGCCCCCGCCUGCGGUCCUGCCUCUGUGGAAAGGCAUUUUCUCCAUCGAGCCGGAUCCCCCCCGGGGCCUCGCGGCGCCCGGAAGCCCUUCCGCGGGCGGGGACGGUGGAGCGCGGUCCGGGCCGCUGCCCCGGGGGGUGCUCAGUAAAGACCGGUCCCCCUCCGUCCCGGGGGCGCGGGCCCUCGGCACUCCGCGGCCCGAUCCGUGGCGGCGAGGAGGCCCGGGCCCUGGGGAGAGCAGCCCGUGCCCCCCUCCCCGGCCCCGGCGGCGACGACGACUCCGGGGCCUCGUCUCGGGCAGGCUCGGGCCUGAGAGAUUGGGGCCGCCGGGGGAAGCCCCUCGCCGAGCUGCGAGGAGACCCUCCCUCUCCCGGCCGGCGCGCCCGCCGCCCCGCCCCGAUCCCGGGACGGGGCCGAGCUCACCGGAGGGACGUGUGGAGGGCGGAGGCUCCCCGAAUCCCCUCCCCGACCCCGGGAGGGACGGACUGAUCCGCGAGGCGGCGUUCCGGUUUGCGUGUUGUAGGAAGUAG
rnacentral:lncRNA from 1 species